AGGGUGAUCGGCCACAUUGGAACUGAGAUACGGUCCAAACUCCUACGGGAGGCAGCAGUGGGGAAUAUUGCACAAUGGGCGAAAGCCUGAUGCAGCAACGCCGCGUGAGUGAUGAAGGCCUUCGGGUUGUAAAGCUCUGUCUUUGGGGACGAUAAUGACGGUACCCAAGGAGGAAGCCACGGCUAACUACGUGCCAGCAGCCGCGGUAAUACGUAGGUGGCAAGCGUUGUCCGGAUUUACUGGGCGUAAAGGAUGCGUAGGUGGAUAUUUAAGUCAGAUGUGAAAUACCCGAGCUUAACUUGGGUGCUGCAUUUGAAACUGGAUAUCUAGAGUGCAGGAGAGGUAAGUGGAAUUCCUAGUGUAGCGGUGAAAUGCGUAGAGAUUAGGAAGAACACCAGUGGCGAAGGCGACUUACUGGACUGUAACUGACACUGAGGCAUGAAAGCGUGGGGAGCAAACAGGAUUAGAUACCCUGGUAGUCCACGCCGUAAACGAUGAGUACUAGGUGUAGGGGGUAUCGACUCCCUCUGUGCCGCAGUUAACACAAUAAGUACUCCGCCUGGGAAGUACGGUCGCAAGAUUA
rnacentral:rRNA from 1 species